rnacentral:rRNA from 1 species
UGUCCCAGCCGCCGCGGUAAUACGUAGGGUGCAAGCGUUAAUCGGAAUUACUGGGCGUAAAGCGUGCGCAGGCGGUUAUGUAAGACAGAGGUGAAAUCCCCGGGCUCAACCUGGGAACUGCCUUUGUGACUGCAUAGCUGGAGUACGGCAGAGGGGGAUGGAAUUCCGCGUGUAGCAGUGAAAUGCGUAGAUAUGCGGAGGAACACCGAUGGCGAAGGUAAUCCCCUGGGCCUGUACUGACGCUCAUGCACGAAAGCGUGGGGAGCAAACAGGAUUAGAUACCCUGGUAGUCCACGCCCUAAACGAUGUCAACUGGUUGUUGGGUCUUCACUGACUCAGUAACGAAGCUAACGCGUGAAGUUGACCGCCUGGGGAGUACGGCCGCAAGGUUGAAGCUCAAAGGAAUUGACGGGGACCCGCACAAGCGGUGGAUGAUGUGGUUUAAUUCGAUGCAACGCGAAAAACCUUACCCACCUUUGACAUGGC